AGAGUUUGAUCCUGGCUCAGAUUGAACGCUGGCGGCAUGCCCUACACAUGCAAGUCGAACGGCAGCAUGAUCUAGCUUGCUAGAUUGAUGGCGAGUGGCGAACGGGUGAGUAAUACAUCGGAACGUGCCCUGUAGUGGGGGAUAACUAGUCGAAAGAUUAGCUAAUACCGCAUACGACCUGAGGGUGAAAGUGGGGGACCGCAAGGCCUCAUGCUAUAGGAGCGGCCGAUGUCUGAUUAGCUAGUUGGUGAGGUAAAGGCUCACCAAGGCGACGAUCAGUAGCUGGUCUGAGAGGACGAUCAGCCACACUGGGACUGAGACACGGCCCAGACUCCUACGGGAGGCAGCAGUGGGGAAUUUUGGACAAUGGGCGAAAGCCUGAUCCAGCAAUGCCGCGUGUGUGAAGAAGGCCUUCGUGUUGUAAAGCACUUUUGUCCGGAAAGAAAUGGCUCUGGUUAAUACCUGGGGUCGAUGACGGUACCGGAAGAAUAAGGACCGGCUAACUACGUGCCAGCAGCCGCGGUAAUACGUAGGGUCCAAGCGUUAAUCGGAAUUACUGGGCGUAAAGCGUG
rnacentral:rRNA from 1 species